UACGUAGGGGGCAAGCGUUGUCCGGAAUCAUUGGGCGUAAAGCGCGCGUAGGCGGCCCGGUAAGUCCGCUGUAAAAGUCCAGGGCUCAACCCUGGAAAGCCGGUGGAUACUGUCGGGCUAGAGUCCGGAAGAGGCGAGUGGAAUUCCUGGUGUAGCGGUGGAAUGCGCAGAUAUCAGGAGGAACACCAACGGCGAAGGCAGCUCGCUAGGACGGUACUGACGCUGAGACGCGAAAGCGUGGGGAGCGAACAGG
rnacentral:rRNA from 1 species